ACUGAGGCUUGUUUCCUAAACUCACUCGACCAGAGUAUCUGCUGCUGAGCGUCGGUAGCGUGAUCGACGCAGCACAGAGGAACGUUUUUACUCCGCGUCAUGUUUUCUUCUGUUUUUAAGGCAAAAACUCUGCAGCUUUUAUUUUUGUGUCUCUUUCCUCUGACUGUGACUGCAGUAACAACAGGACAUGAAAACGAUGUCGCAGGUCAUGCUCAGCACACUUCAGUUUAACAGCCUUCUCUGCAGAGGAAGGAGAGUGACAUUAUCUUCCAGUGUUACUGUUUGUUAUCGUGAUGACAGCAGGAGGAGUUCAGGCACGUCGGCUCGUCACAGCAAGCUCAAACACAGCAGCUGGUCUCUGAGUGGACUCUUCAUCCUUUUCUGUGAACCAUGACUUCAGACUCAGAUAUGCUCAUUUUCAUUACCAUCACUCAACACGUCCCAAACCACCUCAGGGUGAGCUGAAGGUUAAUGCCUGAUGAUGUAAUAAAGAACCACAGAGAGGUCACUAAACCAGAAACUACCUUUAAAAUUCUGUCCGUAAAACUUAUGUUUAAUAUGAGAAACGAAGGGCAGUACUGGUGGAGUCUACCUCUCACUGGGAGCACGUCUGACUUACUGAUGAUACUGACCUGGCUCUCAGUGUGACUGUACAGGGAUGGAAUAGGCUGGAAUAACAGGAAGAUAUCCUGUAACCCAAAUAGCUCCUUUUAAAUUGAACCACCUUCCUCCAGUCUGCCGGUCCGGCACCCUCCCCGGCUUCCAUGCACUGUUGCAGAGGCGUGUCAACCAAGACACCCCCACAGCAUGCAGAGCCUGCAUCUGAGGAUGAAGCUCAUCCACCCCCAGAGUCCUGCAACCUGACUGACCUCACCCCUGAGUGAUGGAUGAGUGUGAAUGCUGAAACAUCACCCUCCUUGUGCUGUAGCUUCAUGCUGUGUUCACAGGUGCAGCUCCGAAGCCGUUUGUUGGGAUCCUGAACAUCACGGAGUACAGGGUGCAGCUGAGGUGUGAGGUCAGAGGUGCGUCUCCGAAGCCUAGAGUAGAGUGGAGGGACAGCCAUGGAAACAUCCUUCGUGCUGAGGAGCCACAGGUGUCACACAGAGACGGCCGCUAUGACAUCACCCUCCUCACCACGGUGACCAGGACAAACACCAACCUCUUCCACUGCGUGGCCACACAGGAGGAGAUCGGCCAUGUGACUGAAGAAGAGAUCCACGUUCCAGAUCAGCUGUUCGAGUCCUGCGAUGGAGUCGGUGUGAUCGUUUCUGUAUUUGCUUCUGGAUUCUCUGUCGCUGUGUUUGCGUCUCUGUUGCUGUUCUCUGCUUGUAUUAAAUGUUGUUGAUAACAGACAGCAGAUACUUUCAUCUGCCUUUUUUAUUCUCUGCUCUUCUGUUUCCUCUGGUUUUAAGGCUGAUAUGUUAUUUAUACCAACAUUGUAUUAAUGAAAAAUAAAGUUGGGUAAAUGAUGGCGCAGUGGAUAAUGUGGAUAUGGAUGUGGAUAAGGUUUUAAAACAUGCUAAACUGCUUUAAAAGUGUUUAAACAUCACAGUUCACAUUGAAACACAUUCAUGUUUUUAUACCGACUGCAUUAAAAAUUAGUCUCUGCUCAUUGUUGUGUUGAAUCCUGAUAUCAGAGCUGUAUUUAUAAUGGCCAGAUGCAGGGUGGUGGACUGAUCCCCGGUGGCUAAAACUGGUUUUUGGUAUAUGAAUAUCACCUCUCUGAUUGGGAGGGAGCCUAACAGAUACAGGCUCGCCUCAAGGCUUGGGUUCAGGAACUCUCUGGAGCAGCGGUCUCCAACCUUUUUGCGCCACGGACCGGUUUAUGCCCGACAAUAUUUUCACGGACCGGCCUUUAAGGUGUCGCGGAUAAAUACAACAAAAUAA